GCAAUUUGAUUUUUACCGGCCCGCUGCAAUAGAGUUGAUGGAGUUGAUGAUCGUUACUGCAGAACGUUCUAGGACAGUUCACAAAAAUGAGAUUGUGUUGAGUACACAAGAGGUCAGAUUAUUGGUAGCUGG